rnacentral:lncRNA from 1 species
UGCUCAUAUUUUUAGUAUAAAAUGCUCCCUAGCUUCAUACAAAAUGUUUUACUUCCGUUGACACUUUUACACCCCAAUGCAUUUACAAAACAAGAAUGUGUCCCCAGUACAGGGAUGCCCAAACCGCACUAUCAUUUUCUAUGUUCAGUGGACCGUAAACAUGGGGGAAAUCUCUUAUUUGGCAUUAAAAUUUGAAAGAUCAUAUCAUAGGGAACAUGUGUAUUAAGUUUCAAGUUGAUUGGACUUCAACUUCAUCAAAACCUACCUCGACCAAAAACUUUAACCAAUACUUUAACCUGAAGUGGGACAGACGACUGAACGAAGGAACAGACAGACGAACAGACGAACAGACAAAUGGAAGUACAGACUAGAAAACAUAAUGCCCAUAAAUGGGGCAUAAAAAAAGCAUUCAAUUCUUAAAUAUUAACCUUCAUUCAUAUUCUCAAGACAAAAAGCUAUAGAAACCAAAUUCUAGCAAGUUGACAAAUCUACACAUUGA